GUAACAAAAACAAACGCCAACAUACAUAGAAACGGAUUAGUUGAUAAUUAAAAAAAUGGUGGGUCGAGCCUGAUUUUACAGAAAGCCAAAUUGUCCGCUUAUAUGACAAUGUUAGGAAAACGGCAAAAGAGACAACAUUACUUGACAGGUGUAAAGAACAAAUAAACAAAACUCAUGACAGAGAAAUACACAUGAAACAAUACAGUACACCAGGACACCACAAACGAAGCAUACACUGUGUGUAAAUAGAGCAAAAAUGUAGUUAAAAUAUAGAAAUAUUGAGAAAAAACGUUUGAUUAAGAAAAUUGAAGAAACGAGAAGUGAAAAAAGAUUUCGAUAUUCAUUUAAAUAGAGGUACGCACAUAAGUAUUCUAAUAUACACCCGGAAAAUACACAUAAUAGAAGAGGGGCGAAAGAUACCAGAGGAACAUUCAAACUUAUAGAUUGAAAAUAAACAAACAACGCC
rnacentral:lncRNA from 1 species